rnacentral:lncRNA from 1 species
UGGGUAAAAAUUAAAAGCUGCUCUCACAAAAAUAAAAUCUCAAUAUUCAAUUUUGUUCAACCUUCCAGUAACUGUUUAGGAUUAAGAAGUCCCAUAUACAAUGGAGCAUGAGGUGCAUCUUGAACCUCUGGGCAUCUCUCAGUCUAUCCUGGGAAUAGCGCCACAUCUGCAUGAAUUGGAUUUGCUGUAUUACCCAACAGACCUACCUACCCAUCACUUAGCAAAAGCUCUUCCUCACCUGAAACAAGCUGGUGUGGAAUGUCUGGUGGCCCUGUUCAAAGUCCCUGAUAAUUUCUUCACCUACACAAGUGGUCAAGGAGUACACCUUCCUAUGAGCAUGUAAAAUGGCAGCUCUCUGCAGAUUCCUAUUAUGGUGCCAAAGGUAAGGAAGCAAAACAAGCUAUCUUUGAAGUUUUAAGAAUUCUUUCAAUGCUGUGUAUGGUAACUAAUCAGAUAGGGUUGUAGUUCACU